rnacentral:lncRNA from 1 species
UUUGCUUUUUAAUUCUUCUCAAACUUGUCUUGGUCUUAAGGAUAUCUUAAGAAUAAUGUUAAGGGACUCAAUGAAGAAGAUUAUAAAUUCUUUCUGGAGUCUUUAUAAUCUGUAGCAUCCAGUUUGGGGAAAUUAUGCAUGUUCAAGGUGUCUCAGUAUUUUCUUAAUGUGUAUUUUGUCAGUGACCAUUUUUGAAAGAGUUUGUGCAAUUCUCAGUGAACAAGAUUAUUGCUUUCUUAAUUCAGAACACUAUUAAGAGUAUUUAUUGAUUUCAUGCCCCUGUUUAUUCCUUAGUGCCAUGUAUUUUACCUUUUUCCAAUCUCAUCAUUUCCUUGAUAUAUCUGAAGAAAAAUUACUCUCAUACACUUGAAUUUUUCUAAGUUAAUCCAUUCUGCUUUAUGUCUUUGUUUAUUUCAUUUGCACACUAGAGUUGAGACAACCCAUGCUUAGUUGAGUUUCUUCCCUUGUUUCCAGUAUAGACUUUUUUUUUUUUUAAUGUUACACUAUUUUUGGUGGAAAAAGAAUAGGUUAUUUCUUUUUUUUUCAUUUUGUAAAAUCUAUUCUUAGAGUUCCCUGAUCCCCUAGCAGGAUGAGGAUCUGUUGUUGUCACUGCUACAGCGUGGGUCACUGCUGUGGUGUGGGUUCAGUCCCUUGCCUGGGAAUUUCUGCAUGCUGUGGGCACAAUCAAAAAUAAAUAAAUAAAAUCUCUUCUUGAUGGUAUAUGCUUCUAGAAUAUUCAAACCUUUAGCAUUCAUUUGUUUGAUCUUGAGCACUUUAAAGAUCCAAAUGCCACUAAAUAUGUCAAGUUUUGCUGUUGAUUUGAGCAGCUUUCUGAGAUUUUGAUUAGGAUAACCUUUAAGAGGUUGGUUGUUUUAAAAGUCAGUUAAAUACAAUAAUCAUAGUUUUUAUUAACCUUUUAUUACUUUGAACAACGGUCUUUGCAGUGGGACAUUAAUGAUUAGCAAGAUUUUAGCAGAACUCACCUUCCUGGCAUGAAACUACCAAAACUUAAGUGUUCUACAUCAUUAAAUAUCUAAUUAAAGCUACAAAGAGCGUCUGAAUGCAUAUUUUUAAGUAAUCAAAACCUUUAUGAGAUAAAGACCAAAUGGUUACAAUUCAGAUUUUUAAAAAAAUAUAUAAAGGCUUUAUAGUAUGUUUUUAAAUGCAUUGAUCAAAAGUACAGUAAGCCAUUGUCAGUGCUGUGGCUCCUUGUUUUUUUUUUUUUUUUUUUUUUUUUUGGUCUUUUUAGGGCUGCACCAUGGCAUAUGGAGUUUCCCAGGGUAGGGGUCAAAUUGGAGCAGUAGCCACUGUCCCAUGCCACAGCCACAGCAGCACCAGAUCUGGAGCCAUGUCUGCAACCUACACCACAGCUCACAGCAACGCCAGAUCCUUAACCCACUGAUUAAGGCCAGAGAUCAAACUUUAUGGAUACUAGUCAGAUAUGUGUCCACACCUCCUGCUGUGGCUCUAUUUAUAGAUGUGACUCGCAUUCAGUGCCUGGCCUGGGAAUAUCUACAUGCUGUGGACGUAGCC